UUGCCAAUGUGACGGAAGGUAAAAUUUUGCCAGAAUCUAAACAGGGCCUAACAGCAUGGAGCAGGACGAUCGCAUCAAUCAACCGUGUUAUCCUGUACAUAAUAAAUAAAUAAAAGAUACCAUCGAGCCAUAAAAAAUGCUGAAAGAGACGGCCCGCUUGCCUCUAUUGUAAGGCUUGUAGCAUUGGAUCGAACGAAUUGUCCUCCUCACAGCGACGCAAUUCUCCCAAAUCUGCCGUUUCAUUCGUCCAUUAGCUGAAAAAGAAACUCUACAAUCUAUCUAUAAACAGAAGGUUAGGUACCUGUGUCUCAAUUUUCUCACUGAUGCCUACAGGUCCGGAGUAAAAUUUGCCGCACCUUGGACAUGGACUGAACCAAAACUUUGCAGAUGCAGG
rnacentral:lncRNA from 1 species